rnacentral:rRNA from 1 species
CCUACGGGUGGCAGCAGUCGAGAAUCAUUCACAAUGGGGGAAACCCUGAUGGUGCGACGCCGCGUGGGUGAAGAAGCGUUUCGGCGCGUAAAGCCCUAUCGGCGGGGAAGAAGGUGACGGUACCUGACCAAGAAGCCCCGGAUAACUACGGGCCAGCAGCCGCGGUAAUACGGAGGGGGCAAGCGUUAUCCGGAUUUACUGGGUGUAAAGUGGGCGCAGACGGCAAUGCAAGUCAGGUGUGAAAGCCCGGGGCCCAACCCCGGGACUGCUCUUGGAACUGCAUGGCUGGAGUACAGGAGGGGGAGGCGGAAUUCCGAGUGUAGCGGUGAAAUGCGUAGAUAUCAGGAGGAACACCGGUGGCGAAGGCGGCCUGCUGGACUGUGACUGACGUUGAGGUGCGAAGGCGUGGGGAGCAAACAGGAUUAGAUACCCUGGUAGUC